UACGUAGGUGGCAAGCGUUGUCCGGAUUUACUGGGCGUAAAGAGCGCGCAGGCGGUCGUUCAAGUCGCGUGUGAAAGCCCCCGGCUCAACUGGGGAGGGUCACGCGAUACUGAUCGACUCGAAGGCAGGAGAGGGUAGUGGAAUUCCCGGUGUAGUGGUGAAAUGCGUAGAUAUCGGGAGGAACACCUAUGGCGAAGGCAGCUCUCUGGGACGGUACUGACGCUGAGACGCGAAAGCGUGGGGAGCGAACAGG
rnacentral:rRNA from 1 species